UGCAGUCGAACGGUAACAUAUCUUGCUUGCAAGAUGAUGACGAGUGGCGGACGGGUGAGUAAAGCCUGGGAAUUUGCCUUUGCGAGGGGGAUAACCAUUGGAAACGAUGGCUAAUACCGCAUGAUAGCUACGGCUCAAAGUGGGGGCUUAUGGUCCUUGCGCGCAAAGAGAAGCCCAGGUGAGAUUAGCUAGUUGGUGAGGUGAAGGCUCACCAAGGCGACGAUCUCUAGCUGUUCUGAGAGGAAGAUCAGCCACACUGGGACUGAGACACGGCCCAGACUCCUACGGGAGGCAGCAGUGGGGAAUAUUGCACAAUGGGGGGAACCCUGAUGCAGCCAUGCCGCGUGUGUGAAGAAGGCCUUCGGGUUGUAAAGCACUUUCAGUGGUGAGGAAGGGCGUUUGGUUAAUACCCAAACGCAUUGACGUUAACUACAGAAGAAGCACCGGCUAACUCCGUGCCAGCAGCCGCGGUAAUACGGAGGGUGCGAGCGUUAAUCGGAAUUACUGGGCGUAAAGCGCACGCAGGCGGUGAUUUAAGCUAGAUGUGAAAGCCCCGCGCUUAACGUGGGAUGGUCAUUUAGAACUGGGUCACUAGAGUAUUGGAGAGGGGAGUGGAAUUUCUGGUGUAGCGGUGAAAUGCGUAGAUAUCANAANGAACAUCANUGGCNAANNCNACUCUCUGGCUGAUUACUGACGCUCAUGUGCGAAAGUGUGGGUAGCGAACAGGANNAGAUACCCUGGUAGUCCACACUGUANACNCUGUCNACUANCUGUUUGANGCUNUAAGUAUUGAGUANCGAAGCUAACGCGCU
rnacentral:rRNA from 1 species